rnacentral:lncRNA from 1 species
CAGAGCCAAGGUCACACCGCCCUACACCUUGCUGUCCCCACAGCAUCUGCAGGAGGAGCAUGCCAGGACCAGAGACCCAGGGAGCAGCCUCACCAGAGGGAAAAGAGCCUGUAGAGUGGUGAGCUCAGGGCCUCACUCUGUCCCCCAGGCCGGAGUGCAGUGACAUGAUACGGCCCUCCCCAGCCUCUACCUCCUGGGCUCAAGAGAUCCUCCUGCCGCGGACUUCCUGGUAGCUGGGAUGAGGGGUAACGGGAAUGGCAGGACUGUGGUUGAGCUUUGGGAGCCCGGGAAGGAAGGAUACUGGAGCUGGGCUGAUCCAGGACAGCUUCCUGGAGGAGGCGGGAUUUAAACUGGUCAAUGA